rnacentral:rRNA from 1 species
CCUACGGGGGGCUGCAGUGAGGAAUAUUGGUCAAUGGGCGAGAGCCUGAACCAGCCAAGUCGCGUGAAGGAUGACGGCCCUACGGGUUGUAAACUUCUUUUGUCAGGGAGCAAUUGAGUCCACGUGUGGUCUUAGCGAGAGUACCUGAAGAAAAAGCAUCGGCUAACUCCGUGCCAGCAGCCGCGGUAAUACGGAGGAUGCGAGCGUUAUCCGGAUUUAUUGGGUUUAAAGGGUGCGUAGGCGGAAUAUUAAGUCAGCGGUAAAAAUUCGGGGCUCAACCCCGUUGUGCCGUUGAAACGGGUGUUCUUGAGUGGGCGAGAAGUAUGCGGAAUACGUUGAGUAGCGGUGAAAUGCUUAGAUAUCACGCAGAACUCCGAUUGCGAAGGCAGCAUACCGGCGCCCAACUGACGCUGAAGCACGAGAGCGUGGGUAUCGAACAGGAUCAGAUACCCCAGUAGUC